AUGCCUGAAAUGGAGGUUCAGAAUUCUGUUUCAUCACAAAGGUUUUAUGACAAUUCCCAGGAAAUCAGUGAACAAGGAAAUAAAAUUCAAGGUUGCGGCUGCCUUGGAUGUGAGGCUGUCUGCAUCUCAGGAGAUACAACCUGUAAUCCUCUGUGGGCAGAACUCUACAGUUUACGUGGUGGAUCAUUAUGUUUGUCUCAUAACCCCAUCCUCCCACCCCAGAUGGAUAACCAGCUUGCUAAGCACCAUUUAUUAUCCCAACACCAUCUUUUCUCCCAGUUCCCUAUGUCUAGACUAUUCAGAUCUGUUGAUCUGUCUACUUCUGGGCCAAUACCAAACUUUAAUGAGCAGAGCUUUCUUUUACUGCCUGAUAAGCGACCCAGCCCCUCUGCACCCCAGGAUGAGCCCCACAGAAGCUCCUGUUCGAAAGUUGGUUGCUGCAGGAAACCAAGACCAGAGUCAGAAGCAAGAGUUAUGAAAGAUGAAAGCAGUGUGUGCGUCUUUAAGAGAAGACGUCCAUCAGAGGGCUUCCUGGAGCUCGAGGUCCACCCAAUCCUCCUGCAUAUCAACACAUAA
rnacentral:lncRNA from 1 species